CGGCAAGCCAUUAUCUUUGAUGAAGCGGCGAGCCUUCUCGGCGUUUCUGCUGCCAACAGCAACCACGGUUGCGUUUGGGGAGAGCUUGAUGGCUCGAGAAACCUUGCGCGCUAUGCCUGCACAUCCCAUGAUGCCGAAUCGGCCUCAUUCCGGACGCCAAACGACAGAUCAGCCGAACCCGCGGCCUUGGAACAAAUGAUUCAGCGCUUGGGAAAAGAGGCGAGAACGUGUUUGUUGUUUUUUUCCCAAGUGGCAAAUGGCUUCUUAAAUUUUCUCCUUGUUUUGAUAAAGCUUGAAGCGAUGCUGCAGACUCAACUCGUUCAAAUCAUUGAUUAUUUUACUGUUUAGGGUUUACAUAAUAAUAUCUGCGAUUCAGAAAAAAUGAGCAAUCGGCCGGCGGCGAAAGCUAUGGGCUUCCUUUGUCAGCUAGCUUCCUCAUAAAGAACAUCGCAGGCCCCAAGUGGGUUUUUCAGGAAGCAAGCUGUAAUUUAAUUUUCUGCUUCUCUUCUAUUGGAGGAAAGUGAUACAGAAAUUAUUCUGGCUAAAUUUUUCAUAAUAAUAAUAAUAAUAAUAAUGCCAGCAAGAAACUAUAUUACAGCUAAA